rnacentral:rRNA from 1 species
AUUGAACGCUGGCGGCAUGCCUUACACAUGCAAGUCGAACGGUAACAGGUCUUCGGAUGCUGACGAGUGGCGAACGGGUGAGUAAUACAUCGGAACGUGCCCGAUCGUGGGGGAUAACGGAGCGAAAGCUUUGCUAAUACCGCAUACGAUCUACGGAUUAAAGCAGGGGACCGCAAGGCCUUGCGCGGACGGAGCGGCCGAUGGCAAAUGAGGUAGUUGGUGGGAUAAAAGCUUACCAAGCCGACGAUCUGUAGCUGGUCUGAGAGGACGACCAGCCACACUGGGACUGAGACACGGCCCAGACUCCUACGGGAGGCAGCAGUGGGGAAUUUUGGACAAUGGGCGAAAGCCUGAUCCAGCCAUGCCGCGUGCAGGAUGAAGGCCUUCGGGUUGUAAACUGCUUUUGUACGGAACGAAAAGACUCUUUCUAAUAAAGAGGGUCCAUGACGGUACCGUAAGAAUAAGCACCGGCUAACUACGUGCCAGCAGCCGCCGUAAGAC